ensembl:misc_RNA Metazoa_SRP Metazoan signal recognition particle RNA
GCCAGGCACGGUGGCGCAUGCCUGUAGUGCCAGCUACUCAGGAGGGUGAGGCUGGAGGAUCGCUUGAAUCCAGGAGUUCUGGGCUGCAGUGUGCUAUGCCGAUGGUGUGUCCGCACUAAGUUCGGCAUCAAUAUGGUGACCUCCCGGGAGUGGGGUACCACCAGGUUGCCUAAAGAGGGGUGAACCGGCCCUGGUCGGAAAUGGAGCAGGUUAAAACUCCUAUGCUGAUCAGUAGUGGGAUUGUGCCUGUGAAUAGCCACUGCACUCCAGCCUGGGCAACAUAGUGAGACCCCCAUCUCU